rnacentral:rRNA from 1 species
GAUGAACGCUGGCGGCGUGCUUAACACAUGCAAGUCGAACGAGAAAUGUAGGCGGAACCCUUCGGGCGGAAGCCUUCAUUUCGAGUGGCGGACGGGUGAGUAACGCGUGGGUAACCUGCCUCAUACAGGGGGAUAACAGUUGGAAACGACUGUUAAUACCGCAUAAGACCACAGCAUCGCAUGAUGCGGGGGUAAAAACUCCGGUGGUAUGAGAUGGACCCGCGUUCGAUUAGCCAGUUGGCGGGGUAACGGCCCACCAAAGCGACGAUCGAUAGCCGAUCUGAGAGGAUGACCGGCCACAUUGGGACUGAGACACGGCCCAAACUCCUACGGGAGGCAGCAGUGGGGAAUAUUGCACAAUGGGGGAAACCCUGAUGCAGCGACGCCGCGUGAGUGAAGAAGUACUUCGGUAUGUAAAGCUCUAUCAGCAGGGAAGAAAAUGACGGUACCUGAGUAAGAAGCCCCGGCUAACUACGUG